GCAACCGUAGCUCAGUUGGUAAGAGCGGUGGCUUGAAACCCCACAGGUCGGUAACUCGAACUUACCCGGUUGCACCA
rnacentral:tRNA from 1 species